GUUCUAUAAUUUUACUAAAUAUUAAAAUAUUUCUUUUUUCCGGUAUAUAUACGCAAUCCAUUUUGAAACAAAAAAGAACGCACAUUGACAUGAAGUAUUUAGUGUUUUCUUUGUUGAUUUGCUGUGUAGCAGCCCAAAACAAUGUCUUGCAAAAUUGUCUCAUGACAAAUUUAGAACCAGUCCAGAAAUGUGAAGAAGUUGCAAUCUUAAAAACCAUGUUUUCAGAUAUUAAGACUUUGGAAGAGAACAUAACCAAUGAAUACAAAAUAUAUUCAGAUUGUCAAGAUAUACAAUGCAGGGGUCGAUUUUUUUUCAGAAUUUUGGAAUUAUUAAACAACUUCAACGUAAACGUUAAUAGCAAAGUCGCCGAAUUAAAGGAAGUAUUUGAUAAAGGCGACUUUUGCUUUAUCAACACUUUAAGGGACAUUGCACCCACUCUACUCCAAUGUCUACAGCCGUAGAUUUACGAUUGAAUCGCAAAUAAAAGUUUUGUAAAGCAAAAUACUGAAUAAAAGUAAUAAAACGACGGAAA